rnacentral:rRNA from 1 species
GAUGAACGCUGGCGGCGUGCUUAACACAUGCAAGUCGAACGGAAAGGCCCAAGCUUGCUUGGGUACUCGAGUGGCGAACGGGUGAGUAACACGUGGGUGAUCUGCCCUGCACUUCGGGAUAAGCCUGGGAAACUGGGUCUAAUACCGGAUAGGACCACAUUUUGGAUGGUGUGGUGGAAAGUUUUUCGGUGUGGGAUGAGCUCGCGGCCUAUCAGCUUGUUGGUGGGGUAAUGGCCUACCAAGGCGUCGACGGGUAGCCGGCCUGAGAGGGUGUACGGCCACAUUGGGACUGAGAUACGGCCCAGACUCCUACGGGAGGCAGCAGUGGGGAAUAUUGCACAAUGGGCGCAAGCCUGAUGCAGCGACGCCGCGUGGGGGAUGACGGCCUUCGGGUUGUAAACUCCUUUCGCCAGGGACGAAGCGUUAUGUGACGGUACCUGGAGAAGAAGCACCGGCUAACUACGUG